UCCUGUGUGGUAUAGUAGUGGUUAGGAUUUGUGGCUUUCACCCACACGGCCCAGGUUCAAUUCCCAGCACAGGAA
rnacentral:tRNA from 1 species